rnacentral:tRNA from 1 species
GACCACAUAGCACAGUGGGUUCUAGCACGUUUGACUUCAUAUCAAAAGGUCUUGUGUUCGACUCCCAUUGUGGUCG